CCUACGGGGGGCAGCAGUGGGGAAUAUUGGACAAUGGGGGGAACCCUGAUCCAGCCAUGCCGCGUGUGUGAAGAAGGCCCUCGGGUUGUAAAGCACUUUCAGUGAGGAAGAACGCCUGGUGGUUAAUACCCAUCAGGAAAGACAUCACUCACAGAAGAAGCACCGGCUAACUCCGUGCCAGCAGCCGCGGUAAUACGGAGGUUGCGAGCGUUAAUCGGAAUUACUGGGCGUAAAGCGCGCGUAGGUGGCUUGAUAAGCCGGUUGUGAAAGCCCCGGGCUCAACCUGGGAACGGCAUCCGGAACUGUCAAGCUAGAGUGCAGGAGAGGAAGGUAGAAUUCCCGGUGUAGCGGUGAAAUGCGUAGAGAUCGGGAGGAAUACCAGUGGCGAAGGCGGCCUUCUGGACUGACACUGACACUGAGGUGCGAAAGCGUGGGUAGCAAACAGGAUUAGAUACCCUUGUAGUC
rnacentral:rRNA from 1 species